rnacentral:rRNA from 1 species
UACGUAGGUGGCAAGCGUUGUCCGGAAUUAUUGGGCGUAAAGCGCGCGCAGGCGGUCCUUUAAGUCUGAUGUGAAGGCCCACGGCUCAACCGUGGAGGGUCAUUGGAAACUGGGGGACUUGAGUGCAGAAGAGGAAAGCGGAAUUCCACGUGUAGCGGUGAAAUGCGUAGAGAUGUGGAGGAACACCAGUGGCGAAGGCGGCUUUCUGGUCUGUAACUGACGCUGAGGCGCGAAAGCGUGGGGAGCAAACAGG